GCUGUGGGAGAAUAGAUGUGUACCUAAAAUCUCCAAGAUAACCACGGUCAGAGAAUAACUCAAAGAGAGUGAGGGAACGGCUGGAUGAUUCGUGAUGCGUUACGAGACAGACGUUGCGCAUCCGUACUCGUAAGGGGGGAGCCGAUUUGAUGAGACUCACUGGAUGAAUGAAAGUACGAGAUGAUGUAUAAAUAAACACAUGUUCGUGAUGAUACUGGGAGGAAGACGAACUGGCGCAGGAAUGCCAUGUGAUGUUGCAUUAGAUUCGCAAGAGGUCAAUCUAGUCCCCGGGAGGCUACAAGCAUUAUAUGCUAACCACCGUUCGUUCUAAUCUAUUUGGCGGAUUGUUCCAUUGCAAGCAAUAUGCGGCGUAUUCCUUCUUUCGGGUCGGGGAAACACAGCAAUAGGAAUUUGGAACACCAAGAAUGGCGAGGCAAGAACUAUACAUAGCAGUUUCCUGUUUCUUCUUCCUUGAGGUAGGCUGCAGAUUGAUUUCGGAAUUCCGAGUUUGUAAUGGAUUUGAUCAGAUGAGGCGCGGUUUUACACUCGUGGAUAUAAACAAGAGAAGCUACCGAUUGGGCUCGCGUACGUGCAUCAAAGACUCGAUCGGCCGGACGGGUGCUUCAAAAACUCGAGAGGGGUUUGGGAUAAAGGUACCCGCUCACGAUGGCGUGCGGCAACGAUCCGUCGCAGGCAACAAGUGAGAUGUGCCGGACGAGGCGGCUGGCGGGGUGCCCGUUGAUGAUUCCGGGCAGGGGACGAGCAACGUCGUGAUCUAGAACAGCCUGCUAGAACCAGGACCUCCACACUAGAACGCAACUCGACGGGCGACAAACGUAGCGGUGAGCCGUAGGCAGCCCUCGUCGGCGGAGCACUCGCCGCCAACGGGCAGACGGCUAGCGGCGGUUCUGGGUCUCAGAGCGGAAGCCCGGGACGGUGACACCGAGAGAGAGAGAGAGAGAGAGAGAGAGAGAGAGAGAGAGAGAGGGUAACGCAAAAUGACUUUUACUUAUUCUCUCUCCUCCUGCUCAUUGAAACGGAUCACGGAUCCAUUGAUUCGUCCAAAUCUUGCUGCUUACGAGAGUAUUACGGGAGCUCGACUAUCUAUCGAGAGAUUAAGGAGCCUGUCGUCGGAUGUAUCCUAAUCUGGGUAGGACCUGAUAAUCUAUGACCGCUUCGAAUGAUUCCAUGCGGCGAUCCGACGCAUCAUUUGGGCUGAUUGCUCUCAUCUGUCUGUAAAGAUUUGCUCGGGAAGUAAUGGAGUAAUUCGGACGUAUAAUAAAU
rnacentral:lncRNA from 1 species